UACGUAGGGUCCGAGCGUUGUCCGGAAUUAUUGGGCGUAAAGAGCGUGUAGGCGGCCAGGUAGGUCUGCUGUGAAAACUCGAGGCUCAACCUCGAGACGUCGGCGGAAACCAUCUGGCUAGAGUCCGGAAGAGGAGAGUGGAAUUCCUGGUGUAGCGGUGAAAUGCGCAGAUAUCAGGAAGAACACCCGUGGCGAAGGCGGCUCUCUGGGAUAACACUGACGCUCAUGCACGAAAGCGUGGGGAGCAAACGAGG
rnacentral:rRNA from 1 species